UCCUCUCCAGUGCCGAGUUGUGUGUCCAUGAAGAGUGACUGGUCCAUGGCUGAGCCUCUGAAAUUCUCAGGAGAUGUUCCUGCUGGUCAGAGUCCCAUGCAGCAUAAGAGACCAUCCUCUCCAGUGCCGAGCUGUGUGUCCAUGAAGAGUGACUGGUCCAUGGCUGAGCCUCCAAAAUUCUCAGGAGAUGUUCCUGCUGGUCAGAGUCCCAUGCAGCAUAAGAGACCAUCCUCUCCAGUGCCGAGCUGUGUGUCCAUGAAGAGUGACUGGUCCAUGGCUGAGCCUCCACAAUUCUCAGGAGAUGUUCCUGCUGG